rnacentral:rRNA from 1 species
AUGGCUGGUGGCGGGGACACGCCGGGCAGACUGGAGAGCAUCCUGACGGACACAUCGGCGCCACGGGCGGAGCGUGCGUGGGCGGCGGGGGCGGUCGAGCUGCGGCUGCUGUCACGGCUUGCGGCGCCGGCGGUGGUGGUGUACAUGAUCAACUACGUCAUGUCCAUGUCCACGCAAAUCUUCUCCGGCCACCUGGGGAACCUGGAGCUCGCCGCCGCCUCGCUCGGCAACACCGGAGUCCAGACCUUCGCCUAUGGCCUCAUGGUACCUACGCACGCUCUCCUGCAUCUCAGCUCUAAUUCAUUUGUCAUGUGUACCUUUACUUGA